rnacentral:lncRNA from 1 species
AAGGAAUAAUAAAUGGGAAAACCAAGCUGAAAUCCAGGGAACACAUCCAGUAGUAGUCAAUCUAAUGGAAGAAAAACAGAAGUAUGAGGCAAAGCAAUUAAAUGGGGGCUACCGGAUGAAAUAGUUCCCAUAAAAGAGGAUGAGUUGGUGGCAUAUGGAAAAAUAAAGAUAAGGUAAUUAAAGGCAUUUAUGUGGCAUUUGAUGGCUAAACAAAAUGC